rnacentral:misc_RNA from 1 species
UCCGUAGGUGAACCUGCGGAAGGAUCAUUAAUGAAAUUAUAAUCCGGCGAGGGGAAAGGCGGAGAGUUGUAGCUGGCCUCUAGGGGCAUGUGCACGCUCUCUUCCGGACCUUUCGCCGUAUGGGCGCGGGGCGACCCGCGUCUUCAUAUACCUCUUCGUGUAGAAAGUCUUUGAAUGUUUUACCAUCAUCGAGUCGCGACUUCUAGGAGACGCGAUUCUUUGAGAAAAAAGUUAUUACAACUUUCAGCAACGGAUCUCUUGGCUCUCGCAUCGAUGAAGAACGCAGCGAAUCGCGAUAUGUAAUGUGAAUUGCAGAUCUACAGUGAAUCAUCGAAUCUUUGAACGCACCUUGCGCUCCUCGGUGUUCCGAGGAGCAUGCCUGUUUGAGUGUCAGUAAAUUCUCAACCCCUCUCGAUUUGCUUCGAGCGGGUGCUUGGAUGUUGGGGGCUGCCGGAGACACUGGAUUUCGUCCAGGACUCGGGCUCCUCUUAAAUGAAUCGGCUCGCGGUCGACUUUCGACUUUGCAUGACAAGGCCUUUGGCGUGAUAAUGAUCGCCGUUCGCCGAAGUGCAAGACAGAAUGGUCCCGUGCCUCUAAUGCGUCGACGCCUCUAGGGGCGUCUUCCUCAUUGACGUUUGACCUCAAAUCAGGUAGGACUACCCGCUGAACUUAAGCAUAUCAAUAAGCGGAGGA